rnacentral:snRNA from 1 species
ACCUUCUCUUUGCCUCAUGGCUUAGAUCAAGUGUAGUAUCUGUUCUUUUCAGUUUAAUCUCUGGAAGGUCUUCACUGGAGACCACUUUUGAUUAUUCCUAUUUUUGAUCAUUCGGGUCGGAGGUCACUGCGGCUUGCUGCAUACUUCUGUCCCAUCGUGUCCCUGGUAUUACACUGCUUCCAGGAGAUGCAAAGGUUUU